rnacentral:rRNA from 1 species
CAUGGGGGUCGAUUUAGCCAUGCUAGUUGCACGAGUUCACACUCGUGGCGAAAAGCUCAGUAACACGUGGCCAAACUACCCUACAGAGAACGAUAACCUCGGGAAACUGAGGCUAAUAGUUCAUACGGGAGUCAUGCUUGAAUGCCGACUCCCCGAAACGCUCCGGCGCUGUAGGAUGUGGCUGCGGCCGAUUAGGUAGACGGUGGGGUAACGGCCCACCGUGCCAAUAAUCGGUACGGGUUGUGAGAGCAAGAACCCGGAGACGGAAUCUGAGACAAGAUUCCGGGCCCUACGGGGCGCAGCAGGCGCGAAACCUUUACACUGCACGCAAGUGCGAUAAGGGGACCCCAAGUGCGAGGGCAUAUAGUCCUCGCUUUUCACGACUGUAAGGCGGUCGUGGAAUAAGAGCUGGGCAAGACCGGUGCCAGCCGCCGCGGUAAUACCGGCAGCUCAAGUGAUGACCGAUAUUAUUGGGCCUAAAGCGUCCGUAGCCGGCCACGAAGGUUCAUCGGGAAAUCCGCCAGCUCAACUGGCGGGCGUCCGGUGAAAACCACGUGGCUUGGGACCGGAAGGCUCGAGGGGUACGUCUGGGGUAGGAGU